UCGAGGGGAAACGGCAUUGAGUGCUUGCACUCUUUGGACGUCGACCGGCGCACGGGUGAGUAACGCGUAUCCAACCUUCCCAUUACUGUGGGAUAACCUGCCGAAAGGCAGACUAAUACCGCAUAGUCUUCGAUGACGACAUCAGAUUUGAAGUAAAGAUUUAUCGGUAAUGGAUGGGGAUGCGUCUGAUUAGCUUGUUGGCGGGGUAACGGCCCACCAAGGCUACGAUCAGUAGGGGUUCUGAGAGGAAGGUCCCCCACAUUGGAACUGAGACACGGUCCAAACUCCUACGGGAGGCAGCAGUGAGGAAUAUUGGUCAAUGGACGGAAGUCUGAACCAGCCAAGUAGCGUGCAGGAUGACGGCCCUAUGGGUUGUAAACUGCUUUUGUAUGGGGAUAAAGUUAGGGACGUGUCCCUAUUUGCAGGUACCAUACGAAUAAGGACCGGCUAAUUCCGUGCCAGCAGCCGCGGUAAUACGGAAGGUCCAGGCGUUAUCCGGAUUUAUUGGGUUUAAAGGGAGCGUAGGCUGGAGAUUAAGUGUGUUGUGAAAUGUAGACGCUCAACGUCUGAAUUGCAGCGCAUACUGGUUUCCUUGAGUACGCACAACGUUGGCGGAAUUCGUCGUGUAGCGGUGAAAUGCUUAGAUAUGACGAAGAACUCCGAUUGCGAAGGCAGCUGACGGGAGCGCAACUGACGCUUAAGCUCGAAGGUGCGGGUAUCAAACAGGAUUAGAUACCCUGGUAGUCCGCACAGUAAACGAUGGAUGCCCGCUGUUGGUACCUGGUAUCAGCGGCUAAGCGAAAGCAUUAAGCAUCCCACCUGGGGA
rnacentral:rRNA from 1 species